GGGAAGGGGUGUCAGUGAGAAUCCGUCCAGCUGUUCAUUGUGUCAACCUGUUGCUUCCCUUGAGAAAAUGUUAGGCAGAAGUGGGUCUUAAAAGAACAGGGGCGCCGGCUGAGGGGUGUCAACAGGCCCUCCGUCAAAUCCUCUUUGAGGCCAGUGUCAGGUACUUUGAUUGGCGGGCCUUCGUGAGGAGAGAUUCUCUUCUCAUCUGUCCGGAGACCAUGACAGAAUUCUUUGGGGUGAAGGAUCCAGAAGAAAAGAUGGAUUUUUCCUCUGAACUGUCACCAAAGGGUUAAAUUUGCUAUUUGAUUGACUUCUAUUGUGCCAGUUGGUGGCUAUAAGCUCACGAGUCCUAAUUAUAGCUCAUAUGAGAGAGUGGGAAUCUACCAAAGUUCAUGUCUGGUGAACUCUGACCUCUGUACCAUUUUAGAUUGGAUCAAAACAUGACAGAAUACAAACUUCAAAUUUGCAUUAUAUAUGGUUAUAUAGCUAAAUAAUAAAGAUAGUACACAAAGUUCCAUAUUUUAGCAUUUUGUAUCACCAGUAUAUAUUAUAGAGUACAUCAGAACCACAUUUCACACAGUAAAGAAGAAACCAUACACUACUGUUCAAAAGUCUGGACUCAUUAGAUUUAU